rnacentral:tRNA from 1 species
UGGGUUGUAGUUCAGUGGUAGAGCACUUGCCUCACAUGUAUGAGGCACUGGGUCCAAUCCUCAGCACCACAU